AGAUUGAACGCUGGCGGCAUGCCUUACACAUGCAAGUCGAACGGUAGAGUAGCAAUACUCGAGAGUGGCGAACGGGUGAGUAAUAUAUCGGAACGUGCCCAGUCGUGGGGGAUAACGUAGAGAAAUUUACGCUAAUACCGCAUACGAUCUAAGGAUGAAAGCGGGGGAUCGCAAGACCUCGCGCGAUUGGAGCGGCUGAUAUCAGAUUAGGUUGUUGGUGAGGUAAAAGCUCACCAAGCCGACGAUCUGUAGCUGGUUUGAGAGAACGACCAGCCACACUGGGACUGAGACACGGCCCAGACUCCUACGGGAGGCAGCAGUGGGAAUUUUGGACAAUGGGCGAAAGCCUGAUCCAGCCAUCGCCGCGUGCAGGAUGGAAGGUCCGUUCGGUUAGUUAAACGUGUACGUUUGUAACGGAACGUAAAAGUCUUCUUUACUAAGUUAAACGAGG
rnacentral:rRNA from 1 species